rnacentral:lncRNA from 1 species
GCGAUUGCUUGUGCGCGCCGCCACGCCUGACUGGUUUUCGUAAUUUUUUGGUGGAGAUGGGGUUUCGCUGUGUUGGCUGGGCUGGUCUCCAGCUCCUAACCGCGAGUGAUCCGCCAGCCUCGGCCUCCCGAGGUGCCGGGAUUGCAGACGGAGUCUGGUUCACUCAGUGUUCAAUGGUGCCCAGCCUGGAGUGCAGCGGCGUGAUCUCAGCUCCCUACAACCUCCACCUCCCAGCCGCCUGCCUUGGCCUCCCAAAGUGCCAAGAGUGCAGCCUCUGCCCGGCCGCCACCCCGUCUGGGAAGUGAGGAGCGUCUCUGCCUGGCCGCCCAUCGUCUGGGACAUGAGGAGCCCCUCUGCCUGGCUGCCCAGUCUGGAAAGUGAGGAGCGUCUCUACCCGGCCGCCAUCCCAUCUAGGAAGUGAGGAGCGCCUCUUCCCGGCCGCCAUCCCAUCUAGGAAGUGAGGAGCGGGGUCUCUGCCCAGCCGCCCAUCGUCUGAGAUGUGGGGAGUGCCUCUGCCCCGCCACCCCGUCUGGGAUGUGAGGAGCACCUCUGCCCAGCCGCGACCGCAUCUGGGAGAAAGAAGACAGGCUUGAAGGAUGGCAAGACAGCUUAUAGGAGGAAGGGAAUAGGAAAAGUAUGGCUAGCAAAGGUGGUAUUGUCAUGCAGAUGAAACUUCACAGAAUUAACACCACAUAUACAUGAAUGCUGCCAAGAAUUAGACCUUGCAUCCUUUGGCGAAAUGACCCAAGUUGUUCCUGGAGUCAUAUCCAGGAGAUAAUCAACUAAGAGCCAGGCACCCCUUCAAGUCCGAAAAGAAACAUUUUACAACCUGCUCUCUCUGAAGUCUGCUAUCUGACAGCUUCCUCUGCACAAUAAAACUUGGUCUCCACAAUUCUUUAUCCUAACCUGAACAUUUCCUUUCAUCCCAGGUCUUCAGAAAAACUCAACCAAUUGUCAACCAGAAAAUGUUUUAAUUUACCUGUACCCUGGAAGCCCCCGCUUUGAGUUGUCCCACCUUUCUGAACCAAACCAAUGAUGUACUACUUAAAUGUAUUUGAUUGAUGUCUCAUGCCUCCCUACAAUAUAUAAAACCAAGCUGUAACCCAACCACCAUGGACAUAUGUUCUCAGGGCCUCCUGAGGGCUGUGUCAUGGGCCAUGGUCACUCAUAUUUGGCU